GAUAAACGCUGGCGGCGCACAUAAGACAUGCAAGUCGAACGGAAGUCGUUAUACAAGGAGAGAAGAUUUAUCGGAUUGAAUUAUAUAACAAUGGCUUUAGUGGCGGACUGGUGAGUAACGCGUAAGAAAUCUACCUAUUAGAGGGGAACAACAAUGAGAAAUCAUUGCUAAUACCGCAUAUGCCAUAAACAUCGCAUGAUGAAAGUGGGAAAGGAGCAAUCCGCUGAUAGAUGAUCUUGCGUCUGAUUAGUUAGUUGGUGGGGUAAUGGCCUACCAAGACGACGAUCAGUAGCCGGACUGAGAGGUUGAACGGCCACAUUGGGACUGAGAUACGGCCCAGACUCCUACGGGAGGCAGCAGUCGGGAAUAUUGCGCAAUGGAGGAAACUCUGACGCAGUGACGCCGCGUGCAGGAAGAAGGUUUUCGGAUUGUAAACUGCUUUAGACAGGGAAGAGAAAGGACAGUACCUGUAGAAUAAGCUC
rnacentral:rRNA from 1 species